rnacentral:rRNA from 1 species
GGUUAAGUUAGAAAGGGCGCACGGUGAAUGCCUUGGCACUAGGAGCCGAUGAAGGACGGGACUAACACCGAUAUGCUUCGGGGAGCUGUAAGUGAGCUUUGAUCCGGAGAUUUCCGAAUGGGGAAACCCACUGUUCGUAAUGGAACAGUAUCUUUAUCUGAAUACAUAGGAUAUUGAAGGCAGACCCGGGGAACUGAAACAUCUAAGUACCCGGAGGAAGAGAAAGCAAAUGCGAUUUCCUGAGUAGCGGCGAGCGAAACGGAAUUAGCCCAAACCAAGAGGCUUGCCUCUUGGGGUUGUAGGACACUCUAUACGGAGUUACAAAGGAACGAAGUAAAUGAAGCGACCUGGAAAGGUCCGUCGAAGAAGGUAACAACCCUGUAGUUGAAACUUCGUUCCCUCUUGAGUGGAUCCUGAGUACGGCGGAACACGUGAAAUUCCGUCGGAAGCUGGGAGGACCAUCUCCCAAGGCUAAAUACUACCUAGUGACCGAUAGUGAACCAGUACCGUGAGGGAAAGGUGAAAAGCACCCCGGAAGGGGAGUGAAAGAGAUCCUGAAACCGUGUGCCUACAAGUAGUCAGAGCCCGUUAACGGGUGAUGGCGUGCCUUUUGUAGAAUGAACCGGCGAGUUACGAUCCCAUGCAAGGUUAAGCUGAUAAGGCGGAGCCGUAGCGAAAGCGAGUCUGAAUAGGGCGUUUAGUAUGUGGUUGUAGACCCGAAACCAGGUGAUCUACCCAUGUCCAGGGUGAAGUUCAGGUAACACUGAAUGGAGGCCCGAACCCACGCACGUUGAAAAGUGCGGGGAUGAGGUGUGGGUAGCGGAGAAAUUCCAAUCGAACCUGGAGAUAGCUGGUUCUCUCCGAAAUAGCUUUAGGGCUAGCCUCAUGUUGUGAGAGUCUUGGAGGUAGAGCACUGAUUGGACUAGGGGCCCCCAACGGGUUACCGAAUUCAGUCAAACUCCGAAUGCCAAAGACUUAUCCAUGGGAGUCAGACUGCGAGUGAUAAGAUCCGUAGUCAAAAGGGAAACAGCCCAGACCACCAGCUAAGGUCCCCAAGUAUACGUUAAGUGGAAAAGGAUGUGGAGUUGCUUAGACAACCAGGAUGUUGGCUUAGAAGCAGCCACCAUUUAAAGAGUGCGUAAUAGCUCACUGGUCGAGUGACUCUGCGCCGAAAAUGUACCGGGGCUAAACGUAUCACCGAAGCUGUGGAUUGACAUCUUUGAUGUCAGUGGUAGGAGAGCGUUCUAAGUGCUGUGAAGUCAGACCGUAAGGACUGGUGGAGCGCUUAGAAGUGAGAAUGCCGGUAUGAGUAGCGAAAGACAAGUGAGAAUCUUGUCCACCGAAUGCCUAAGGUUUCCUGAGGAAGGCUCGUCCGCUCAGGGUUAGUCGGGACCUAAGCCGAGGCUGAAAAGCGUAGGCGAUGGCCAACAGGUUGAUAUUCCUGUACCACCUCCCCGCCGUUUGAGUAAUGGGGGGACGCAGUAGGAUAGGGUAAGCGCGCUGCUGGAUAUGCGCGUUCAAGCAGUUAGGCUGAUGAGUAGGCAAAUCCGCUCAUCAUAAAGGCUGAGCUGUGAUGACGAGGGAAUUAUAGUACCGAAGUUCCUGAUUCCACACUGCCAAGAAAAGCCUCUAGCGAGGCGGGAGGUGCCCGUACCGCAAACCGACACAGGUAGGCGAGGAGAGAAUCCUAAGGUGAUCGAGAGAACUCUCGUUAAGGAACUCGGCAAAAUGACCCCGUAACUUCGGGAGAAGGGGUGCUCUGGUAGGGUGUAUAGCCCGAGAGAGCCGCAGUGAAUAGGCCCAGGCGACUGUUUAGCAAAAACACAGGUCUCUGCGAAGCCGCAAGGCGAAGUAUAGGGGCUGACGCCUGCCCGGUGCUGGAAGGUUAAGAGGAGGGGUUAUCCUUUGGGAGAAGCUCUGAAUCGAAGCCCCAGUAAACGGCGGCCGUAACUAUAACGGUCCUAAGGUAGCGAAAUUCCUUGUCGGGUAAGUUCCGACCCGCACGAAAGGCGUAACGAUCUGGGCACUGUCUCAACGAGAGACUCGGUGAAAUUAUAGUACCUGUGAAGAUGCAGGUUACCCGCGACAGGACGGAAAGACCCCGUGGAGCUUUACUGUAGCCUGAUAUUGAAUUUUGGUACAGCUUGUACAGGAUAGGUAGGAGCCUGAGAAGCCGGAGCGCUAGCUUCGGUGGAGGCGUCGGUGGGAUACUACCCUGGCUGUAUUGAAAUUCUAACCCGCGGCCCUGAUCGGGCCGGGAGACAGUGUCAGGUGGGCAGUUUGACUGGGGCGGUCGCCUCCUAAAAUGUAACGGAGGCGCCCAAAGGUUCCCUCAGAAUGGUUGGAAAUCAUUCGUAGAGUGUAAAGGCACAAGGGAGCUUGACUGCGAGACCUACAAGUCGAGCAGGGACGAAAGUCGGGCUUAGUGAUCCGGUGGUUCCGCAUGGAAGGGCCAUCGCUCAACGGAUAAAAGCUACCCCGGGGAUAACAGGCUUAUCUCCCCCAAGAGUCCACAUCGACGGGGAGGUUUGGCACCUCGAUGUCGGCUCAUCGCAUCCUGGGGCUGUAGUCGGUCCCAAGGGUUGGGCUGUUCGCCCAUUAAAGCGGUACGCGAGCUGGGUUCAGAACGUCGUGAGACAGUUCGGUCCCUAUCCGUCGUGGGCGUAGGAAAUUUGAGAGGAGCUGUCCUUAGUACGAGAGGACCGGGAUGGACACACCGCUGGUGUACCAGUUGUCUUGCCAAAGGCAUCGCUGGGUAGCUAUGUGUGGACGGGAUAAGUGCUGAAAGCAUCUAAGCAUGAAGCCCCCCUCAAGAUGAGAUUUCCCAUAGCGCAAGCUAGUAAGAUCCCUGAAAGAUGAUCAGGUUGAUAGGUCAGAGGUGGAAGCGUGGCGACACGUGUAGCUGACUGAUACUAAUCGAUCGAGGACUUAACCAA